UAUAUGGCGGGCGCGAACUCACGUUGUCAUUUUCAACAGUUAAUUUAGGAAGGGAAAUUGCACUUAGAUUCUAUACCGCGAUGUUCUCAUUGCAACGUAGAGAACAUUCUUCGACGAGUGAUGGAAAUCUUUCAAUUUUGACGCUUACAGAGUCUUUUACGACCGCUCUUCGAUUCCACGAUUGGAUGGUGUUUUGUUAUUGGGUGCAGAAAUAGCGAGCGUUAAUUGGACGAUGUAUGUUAAUGUUUAUGUAUGUAUUGGAUGAUGUAUGGUAACGUUUCUUGCCUAAUACGAUCAUGGCAAUUGCAACGCUCACGGCAAUUGUACUAGGUUGUCCGAAAAUUUCUUUCGUUUUGUCAGGAAAUGAUAGAUGCACAACGUUCUUCCUUUCAUAUCAUUUUAUCGAAUUAUAUACGAUCCAUUUUGUUUCAAUAGAACAAACGAUAUUUAGUACAUUAAACUACUACUAGAUAUCAUAAACUUAUAAAACGAAAGAAACCUAAUACGAUACUCGUCACGAGUAUUUCGUGGCAAAAGAUCGAAAUAUAUAUCGAAAAAUAUUCUGCUUCCAUGUGGAUGUAGCUUUGGCUACAAUUUUUCGCGAACGCUUCAAUUUUGCGAACCUAUGCCGGAGAAGCGUGUGGAAAGAUUCGCGCGAAAGACAUCCGCGGAAAAGUAUACAAGCAAACGAAGAGAAUGGAGUACACGAGGCGUUAGACGAAUAGAUUGAUCCGUUCGUUCAAGGAGAAGCUAAGGCCAAGCCGACCUUUACUUUUGGAUCGAAACGAACGAACGUUCGAUUUAAUGCACGAGACGGAAUUUUAAAGACGCCGCUUCCCGCAACAAACGGAUCCCCACACGUUUUCACGCCUUUUAUUUACGCGAUACAUGUGUUACGCGAAAGCUUUUGGAAAUUUCACGACGCUCAACGCGAUUAUAUCGUAACAGCUUUGGAUGAUCGCUGUUAUUUGCUUACUAUGAAAACGGAAAAUGAUCCGAUUCGCCUCGACCUACUCUACGUAUGUUGACAAUAUCGUGGAUCGUGCGCUGGAUCUUCCACCGUUAAGAAAGAUACGAUCAACACUUACUGAGAAUUCCUAUUGCAGCUGGUUGUUGUUCAAGGGUAAGUUUGAUCAUGCUGAGAAUAAGAACAUGAGGAAAGACCAGCUCCUCCUCGCCGGUCAAUGGGCUGCUCAA